rnacentral:rRNA from 1 species
CAGGCUGCAACUCGCCUGCACGAAGUCGGAAUUGCUAGUAAUCGUAGGUCAGCAUACUACGGUGAAUACGUUCCCGGGCCUUGUACACACCGCCCGUCAAACCAUGAGAGUUGGCAACACCCGAAGUCGGUAGUCUAACCGCAAGGAGGACGCCGCCGAAGGCGGGGUUGAUGAUUAGGGUUAAGUCGUAACAAGGUAUC